CCAAUAAAAAGUCAGAGCAGGGGGUAAAGCCACAGGUGGAAGUAUCGGAGUAUCACAUUUGUUCAUACGAGAUAAGAAGAGUGGUAUCCUUAAAGUGACUUUGGGAUAGAAGAGAAGAUAGAGUUAAUAGCUUGUUCUCUAUCCUAAAAUGUGCAGCAUGUAAUCAAACAGAAAUUUCUACUUGAGAAGGAUACUGAUGUCCUACUGUCUUUAAGCCACAUGCAGGUUAUGAUUGAUGUAUUAUCUGGCCAUAAUUGAUUCAAGAAGAUGGAAAAUAACUUUGGUGAAAAGCUGAAAGAAAG
rnacentral:lncRNA from 1 species